UGAGUACGAGCUGCUACGGCAGCGAAGUGGGUGACGUCAAGCUUCCAAGAAAAGCCCUAUACCCGUUAAGGCAUGAUGGCCUGUACCCGAAACCGACACAGGUGGGGUGGUAGAGAAUACCGAGGGGCGCGAGAUAACUCUCUCUAAGGAACUCGGCAAAAUGGCCCCGUAACUUCGGGAGAAGGGGUGCCACCGCAAGGUGGUCGCAGUGAAGAGGCCCAGGCGACUGUUUACCAAAAACACAGGUCUCCGCUAAGUCGCAAGACGAUGUAUGGGGGCUGACGCCUGCCCAGUGCCGGAAGGUUAAGGAAGCUGGUCAGCGUAAGCGAAGCUAGCGACUGAAGCCCCGGUGAACGGCGGCCGUAACUAUAACGGUCCUAAGGUAGCGAAAUUCCUUGUCGGGUAAGUUCCGACCCGCACGAAAGGCGUAACGAUCUGGGCGCUGUCUCGGAGAGAGGCUCGGCGAAAUAGAAUUGUCUGUGAAGAUGCGGACUACGUGCACCCGGACAGAAAGACCCUAUGAAGCUUUACUGUAGCUUGGUAUUGUGCUCGGGCUCGGAAUGCGCAGGAUAGGUGGGAGGCUAUGAACCAUUGCUUGUGGGUGAUGGUGAGCCACUGGUGAGAUACCACUCUUUCCGAGCUAGAGUUCUAACAGCCACCCGUUAUCCGGGGGCUGGACAGUAUCAGGUGGGCAGUUUGACUGGGGCGGUCGCCUCCUAAAAGGUAACGGAGGCGCGCAAAGGUUUGCUCAGGCUGGUUGGAAAUCAGCCGACGAGUGUAAAAGCAGAAGCAAGCUUGACUGCGAGACCUACAAGUCGAACAGGGAGGAAACUCGGCUUUAGUGAUCCGACGGUUCUGCGUGGAAGGGCCGUCGCUCAACGGAUAAAAGUUACUCUAGGAUAACAGGCUGAUCUCCCCCAAGAGUUCACAUCGACGGGGAGGUUUGGCACCUCGAUGUCGGCUCAUCGCAACCUGGGGCUGAAGUCGGUCCCAAGGGUUGGGCUGUUCGCCCAUUAAAGCGGUACGCGAGCUGGGUUCAGAACGUCGUGAGACAGUUCGGUCCAUAUCCGGUGCAUGCGCAGGAAUAUUGAGAGGAUUUCUCCCUAGUACGAGAGGACCGGGAGGAACGCACCUCUGGUGUACCAGUUAUCGUGCCAACGGUAAACGCUGGGUAGCCAUGUGCGGAGAGGAUAACCGCUGAAAGCAUCUAAGUGGGAAGCCCACCUCAAGAUGAGUAUUCCCAUGGGUUAACCCAGUAAGGUCACGGGAAGAACACCCGUUGAUAGGCUCUACGUGGAAGCGCAGUAAUGUGUGAAGCGGAGGAGUACUAAUAGACCGAGGGCUUGACC
rnacentral:rRNA from 1 species